AAAUAUUAAUUCUUAAUAUUUUAAUUAUAAUAUAUUUAUGUAAAUUUAUAUUUUUGAAAUUUAAAUAGAGCUAUCUCAUUUAUUAAAUAUUAAAAUAAAAGUACUUAAUAAUAAAUAUCUAAAUUGAAGUUUUCAAAACAUACAUAAAUAUUCAUAAUUGAUUAAAAAUAAUUUCUAUAUAAUUUUUUUAAGGGAUAAAUUAAAUAUUUUUAAUCGUUUUAAAUAUUUUUUUAGAUUCGAAAUAUUAAAGCAAUAAACAAAUUGGAAGAAAUAAUAUACAAGGAAAAAAUAUAUAAGAUAAAAAAUAUACAAGGAAUUUAUUGGGAUCAAUAAUACGUUACGCGCGAAAAUCGGUUGAACAUCUUAAAAUAAUCGCUUGUAUUAUUUUUCACUGUCCUUUAUUUUUUUUUCUUUUAUCGAAUCUGCAUUUACCAUAUUUUAAACAAAAAAGAUAAAUUGACAAUAUUAACAACGAACAAAGAAGUAAUAAUUAAUUGAAAAAUAAACUUUCUUUUAUAAAAUUAUAUUAUUUUAUAUAACAAAAAAGAGAAUAAACAAAUUUCCUUUUAAUUAAAUUGUUCCAGAGAAAAAGAACAAGCGAUUAUAGCUGGUACUUGAAGUGUAUUUACUCUGAAAUAUAUAUAUAUAUAAAAUAAUAAUGAUGAUGAUGAUAAUAAUAAAGGAAAAUAAAAAUUGAAGAAUGAUGAAAUUGCUGUUUUUACUUUGAUCAUAUUUCAACUACACUUGAAACAAAAAGAAAAAUGGAUAUACAAGCGAAUUGCACGAAUUGACUUUAAAACGCGUGUUUGCUCGAAGGAACACGUACCUCUUUGAGAAAAGUUUUGUUGUCAGAAACACCUUUCUAAGAAUCACUUCCGGUGUAAGUCCAUUCCUGGUGUCCGAUGGAGUUUGCACUUUUGCAAUGUAUUCCAUCUUUUAAGUUCCUCCACUUUCAUCAUCCUUCCCUUCAAAAGGAUUCUUUCAUGGAGAUUUUGUUUCUUGUGAACAAUUAAGAUGUAUUUUAACAAGUAAAAAGUAUUGUAGAAUAAAAUAAAAAUGAGAAAUAAGGAAAAGCGAUGCUUUUUCUUAAUGAGAAUUUUCAUUUCCAACUGGGGAAUAGAAAAAAAUAUAAAAUACAAUAAAAUUAAAUAUAAUAAAUAGAAAUAUGAAAAUCGAAUAAAAGUAAUUUAUUUCAAAAGAAUUUUUUUCAAAGAUUUUGUUUCCUCUAAACAAUUAAGAUUGAAAAGAAUAGAUUAAAAAUAAGAAGGAAAAUAUAAGCUUUCUCUUAAUGAAUUCUCAUUUUCAACAGAAAGAAGAUACUAAUAAAAUAUGUAAUUAUGUAAAGAUAAUAUCCUUUAAAUGAUAUCGUCUUUUAAGUAAGAAAAAACAAUACUGUUUUAAUUUACCAAAUCGAUAAUGUUAUUGGUUAAUUAUUGUGUAAGAAAAUUCUAUUGAAAAGGAAAUUAUGAAAUAGAAAUUAAUAGGAACAAGAUACACCAUAUCUAAAAUUAUUAUUAUUGGUUUUAAUAUAUAUUUCACAAUAUUUAUACUAACUUGUCGUCGUUUAUUUUAUCUUUUUUACUCUUAGCUUUUCUGUUGAUAAUAAUUAAAUGUAAUUAACAACGAUAAUUUCCAUAUUCCAUUUCCAUAAGUGCAUAAUUUUUUAACUAUAAUUCUAUCUCAAUUACAGGCAGUAGAAUAUUGUAUAUUUUGUUAUAUAUUGGAGAAACAAACAAUAAAUAAUAAAUUUUCUGAAAGAUUGAAAUAUAAGAAGGAAUAUGAAUUAUAUCAGGAAUAAAUCAUAAAUCUAAAGGAUACCAAAAAUGGUUUAUCUUAUAGGAAAAUAUGGAUCAUAAAUUAUAAAUUUCCAAAGGAAAAAAAUAUGGAUCAAACAAUUUCUGAAAGUGAAGUGAGAGAAAUUUCUUAUAAUUUCUAAGAAUAUAAUUUAUCAUAGGAUUGUAUUUUAAGUUUUUCAUUUAUAAAUUAAAAAGGAUAAACUUUUUUUAAUAAUACGUCUUAAGUUUAUUAUUUUCAAACUUAAAAAAAAAAACAAGCUUCUAAUGUCACUGCCUUUAAACUUAUAUAUUUUCGUAUCGCUAAUUAUUAUGCUAAUCACAAUAGUGCACUUGUAUACCGUUCGUAUUAAUAAAACCGUUGUAAUAUAAAAUACAGAAUUACAUUAGACAUAUAUAAUUAAACGCUCGAUGUAUUCGUGUUGCUUUUCCCGUUUCGAAAUUUUUCGUUGAAUCGUAAACGGGUUGACAUAAAAACAUAUUUUUAGCAAAUACGCAGAGUUAGCAUAAAAUUCUGGAACGUGGGCUCAGGCACGAAUUUGUUCCGAUAAUAUCUACUCAAAUCCAAUUUUCUGUUUUAUAAUCUUCCAAUAAGGAUAAACCAGCCAAGAUCUUAUGGUGCAUGAGCUUGAUAGAGCAUGAAAAUUUGAUCUAUAGACUUGCUUUUUUUUUUUAUAUAUUUAAAUGGAACAAACAAUUAAUUAUUUUGGUAACAUUGGUAUGACUCAUUGUGAUUUCAAUGCUUUCGUUUUCAAUUGUUCAAAAUAUUAAAAUUAUUUUUAAAUUCUCGGGGAAUUUUUAAGGAUUUCUUUGAAAUUUCUUUCGUAUUUUUUAAAAUCUUUUUGAGAUUCUUUAAAAUUUCCUUGGAGUUCGUUUGAAAUUCAAACAACUUUUUCAAGAUCUUUCAAAUCUCUCUGAAAUUUUUAAUGUUCCUUUAAAAAUAUUUUGGAAUUCGUUAAAAUCCUCGAAUUAUUUCUUUCUUUUUAAAAUUUUUCCAAAACUUCUAAACUCUUAUAAAACUUUUAGUAAUCUUAAACGUUAAAUCGCUUUAUUUUCAAUUAACCCAAAACGUUCGAUCAACCAUCUGCAUAUUUAUAUAUAGAAAUAUGGUCGUUAAGAAUCGAUCUUGGACGAAAUUGGAGAGGAAAAUAAGAACGAUAUAAAGGAACGUAUGCAAACGAUAAAAAUAACGGUGGAACAGAUCGAGUUAACAGAGAUGAAACGCAAAUAAGUUGUUCUACAUUUGCUUACGUAUGUUUAUGCAUACAAAAGGUAUGCAUACGAAGAAGAACAGUUGUCCCACAGAACAGAUGUUCCACGUACCAAUUUCGAGUGGCUUGUCCCUGUUUAAUGAUUGCGUAAUUCGUGAACAUCUUAUUGGCAGAGGCGAAACGGAUGUCACCUUAAUUUAUUACCUUUUUGAUCGAUAAUUGCCAUUGUACUGUUUAUAGCAUCAAGGUUUAUUUAUUUCAACUACUCUGGAAAUGAAUAAUAUCAAUUUGAUAUACGUGUAAUUAUUGUAAUUUUGUUAUCAUAAAAGUGAAACAAAGUUAUACGAUAUUUUCAAAAUAAAUAUAUUUACAAUUACAAAUUAUGAUAAAUAAGGAUAUUAACGAGUCUGAUAAAUCAGAAAAUGAAUUUCACCACAUUAAUAUUUUUUUGAAAUAAUUGAAUGUCAUUUAAAAAUAACGCUCAUUAAAGAAAAUAUCUUCAAAUCUUCGAAUUAUAAUCGUGAAAAAUAUAGAAGAAUAACGAAUAAAAGUUGAAACGAUCAGCUCGGAAAUGGUGAAUCCAAUAAAUUGAAGAAAAUCGUGUUUUAUUCUUAAAUAUUUAAUUCUUCUUCUUCCUCGCGUUCACGUGCAUCUUCUUGGCAACUGCAAAAUCCAACUAUUCACUCAAAUCAUAAUAUCGAACCCUUAUUCGAGAUUACACUUCAGUUAAUGCCCGUAUAAAACCGUGUUUAACGAGCGAUAAAAACGUCACGAUAAAAGUAUAAUCAUUGCGUAAAAUUGCUUAGACGAUCUCCUCCGACGAUAAAUCCUCGCACCAUCCAUAAAUUUCCAAGCGAGAAAGGAUUAAUUGAAAAAUCGUAAUGGCCGCGGUGGUGAGGGUUGAUUAAGCGUCGUUAAAUCGAAAAUGCACGUGCAAGUGACGUCAAAAGUUUAACGAAGAACGGGAGGGGAGGGCGGAGGGAAAGAGAGGGAGGAAGAGGAAAAAAAAGCGCAGCUCCUUGCAUCGUCCAGCUGCGACGAACACUCGUUGAAUAACAAACAGCGCCACUGCUCUCCUGUUUCGCGUUAUGCAUCGUAAUAAAAAUCGAACAUCCUCCUCAGGAGCGAACAAAGAGUUUAUUGUCUUGCCGCUGCAUCUCUUCGAGACUCUGAAUUUGACUCCUUGCACGGAGGUUCAUCGCGAUGCAGGGACGGGUCUUCAAGUUCUGGAUUAGUUUGAGGGGAUCUUGCAUUUUUUCCUUCCGUAAUUUUCCGUGAAAUUUAUUUCUAUUUAUUAGUUUAGUUUGGGACAGCAAUUAUUAGGGACAAGUUACAUUAGAAAGCUGGAACUGAUUUUUUACUUUUUAUAUCCUUGUCUUUAAGUUGAUAUAAAGUUUAAUCUGCGAGUAUAAUUUUGUGUAAUAAUUGUGUAAAAACUCUUAAUGAGUUUGUUUGAGUCGAGAGACAAGUUGAAAAAAACAGAUAUCACAGUUAUAAAAGAUUCUUUCUAAAAUUAAAAAAACAUUAAAUUAACCGAGGAUUAAUUCAAAUAGUAUAUUGUAGUAAUAGAUAGUAUAGCUAAUCUUUCAUUAAGUUUCUAUAUUGUUCGUGAUAUACUGAUUCUUUAUAAAAAAAAAAGAAGUAAUAAGAAACAAAUUAUAAAAUGAUAAAUCUUUUAAUUAUUCACUUAAUGCUGCUUAUAUAUAAAUUACUGAUAUCUCUAAUCUUCGAAAAUCUCUUUAUCAAUAUUAAUAAUCCUCAGACAAAGAUAUAUCUCCUUUCUCCACCGUUCCCUUACACUCCGAUCAAAAUAUCACAAAAAAUUCUUUCGUAAACUCUCUACUUAUCACAAUCCUCUGAUCAAUUCCUACAACCAUCGAAUCCACGAUGAACAACGAAAAUUUAAAGAAUCAUAAAAAAAGAAUUCACUGGACAAUCGUUAUUACCAGCACCGCAUCUUUGUCUAAGAAUUCUUUUCAAACGGUGGACCACCAUGUCGCAAAGCUAAAAUAAUAUCCAUCUGUAUCGUAAAAAUUCCUUCGAGAACUCGUAUGAAACUCGGCGCAUAUCUGCACGAGACGGAACACGGUCAAAUGGAGUACUUUAUGAACGACAGUUCCCACAAAACGUUCCCAUAAAUAUUCAUGCACGAACUUGCUUUUAUCCUCGAGGCUGCGCCUAUACGUAUACACACCACGCACGAGUACGGAAAGAGAAAGAAAGAAAGAGAAAGAAAGAGAGAGAGAGAGAGACGUUCGCUCUAAGAAGCGAGGAGUGCGCAGGUGCGGAUCCGAAUCCGAAGUGAAAAAUAUAAGGAGCGUGAGCCCUGAGAAAGUGAGAUGGAAUCGCGAAGGGCGUUCUUCGUAAACAUCGUACGAGAAAGUGACGUUCACUCGUCUUGCGGCCACGCACACGAGAAAGUACAGCGUUCUGCUGUUCUGUUACGCACGCGGAUCGCGUGCUCCGCUCGCUUUAACUCUCUUCGAACACGUUAUCACGGAUACGUGUACGCGUGUACGUUUCAUAUUGGCUGUCCAUUCGACUUGGCCGAUCGUGGAUAUAAUGGAUAACUGGUCUGGACAACGAGUGUCCAAGUGUUCUCUUCAGAUCGUGGAAAAUUUCAAGCUUUCUCUUCUGGAAUUCUUUUUAGAGUUGUUCUGGACUUUUUGUUUUUCCCAAUUUAAAAUUUGGAAUAUUUCGAGAUCCUUUUUGAUUUUUUUUUUCGUUGGGAACUUUUUUAAGUUCCUUUGGAAUUUUUUGUAAUUCUCUUGGGGUUCUUCUCAAGAAUUUAUUUGAGAAUUCUUUUUACGAAUUUCUUCUACCAUUUGCAUAUCAUCUCUGUUCGUUGUGAUAUUUUUAGGUAGAAUGGUUUAAGUCACGUUGCUUCGAAAAUUGAAAUUUAUUGGUUUGUGAGAUUUGAUGGAUUUUAGAAGCUAUAAAAGAUAUUCGAAAUAGGAAUGGUGGAAUAGAUCAUCACUCGAAUAGAUCCAUGGAUAACUGCACUUAACAAAUAAACGUAGAUGAUUUAAUACUUCAGAGAAAAGUAAAGAACGGAAAUAUUUAAAGUAUUUUAAAAAACAUAAAAAUGGCAUAUUUUAAUAUAAUUAAAAAUUAUAAAACAGCAGAUAUAAAUUAUUUCUGUUGUUGAUAGAGAUUUUUUAAUUUAUAUUUCUACGUGAAAAAAUUUUAAACAAAGAAAAUUAAAUUAUUCGUUUGAAUGAAAGAAAGAAAUUAAGAUAAGAAACACGUGCUGAUACUCGAUAAUCAAGUAUCGUAAAGAUAAAAUUCUGAAGAUCCGAAUCGUAAAAUUAAGUCAAAGAUCCCGUUAAACGGACGUCGAACGGUCGUAAAUUGUUACAAAUUAAUAUAAUUAUCGAUCUGACACAGUUCAAAAAUCUCUCUCUCUUUCUCUCCACGUUCUAUCGCAUUUUACAAUCUGUUGCAACAGGCAAUUCUUCACUCUCACGAGUAUUUCAAGUUAAACUUGCAGAGUUUAGAAAUGGUGAAUGGUGAGUGGUAAAAUACUCUGAUUAAUAGAUUCUGUCUUCAUAAUUUAUGUUCUGGCGCGAAAUUACCAUUCUACGAAACGUUUUGAAAGAAAAGAAAGAAUAAAGUAAUGCGCCCGCUUCUUUUUUUGGCUCGUUGUUAAUUUCUAUCCGUUUUAAAAUAGGGAAAAUAAAAAAAUAGAAAAAACAUCGUAUUCCUCUUGUUUUCAUAAUUUUUACAUCUUUUUUUCUAAUUAUAAAACAACCACAUAAUAUUAAAUAUCCAUUUCCAUUUCAAUUGCUUAUUUUUCUUCCGUUUAAAAACUCUUCAUAUUUAAUAGAUUCAUUCUAUUAACAGCUAUUAUUAAUUUCCAAUUAUCGUAGCAAUUAUUUUUUUGAAUUUAAUUAUCAAAAUAAAACGUUAUGCAAAAUAAUAUAAAUAAUUAUAUCUAUAUUGGAAAUACUUAUAAAUUGAACGUCGUUCCUGAUUAACUUUGCAGUGUAUUUUAUCGUAUAACGUGCUAAUAGAUACGAUUUUUUUUAUAACAUUUUUAACACUUCGUGUAUUGCUACACCAGAAUGACAACAAAUUCAAAAAUAAAAAUCUUCCUAUCUCGAAAUAUGGAGAAAUAUUCGAGUGAAAGAUUCUUCGCAUACAAUUUAAACUCGAUUAAAUCAAGGAUUGAUUCAAAAAACUGUCACAACUGGAACAAGAUAAGUUUGUGCAAACUUAAAAUUCAACUUAUUAAUCGAUUAAGGAUCAAUUGAUCGCAGAACAGACAGUUGGCAAACGAGUUUCCCACGAUGCCGAUCUCUGCAUUAGCGCAAAAUCCCAUUCCGAAAUUCCACGACGACCCACCAAUAGCACAUUCCUAACCGUAUAGUGACAAACAGAGCGACACAAGGAAUACCAAAUCCCUCUCCCUUUUCUCGAGGACGAAACGAGCGCAAUUACAAUUUGCCCCACGCCGACAAAUUAACAUUCGAGGCGUCGAACGGGACGAAAGUUGCGCUAAAGAUCCUCUCCGUUAAUUCACGCCACUGCUACACCAAAAACCCAUCCGUUCCUAUGCGUUCUCGCCAGCCAGACGAGGAUAUAUAAUCACAGCCAUUAAAUUUUGUCCCCCUCGUUUUUAAUUCGAUUUUUCGAUAAAAUUAUUACCUGUAAUUUGGAUAAUAUUUCACAAGCGAGUGGGCCUCUUCGAGAUGGUCGGUUUCUUCCUUUUCCAUUUCUACAUUUUAUUUAUUUAUUUAUUUUUUUUUUUAGGUUUCGAGUUGGAGGAUAAGCGAUCGAGAUUACGCUCCGUUUACGAAAUUGAUUAGAUACGGAAUUAAUAGUAACUGUGACCUAUGAUAGAAUUUUUGGAAUUUUCCGUAACUUAAAAGUUAUAUUUAUAAUAUUGCAUGAGCGACGAUUAUUAAUUCGUUAAAAAUUGGAAAUGAUUGUCUCGUAGAAAACUGAAAAACCGUUCCAGUUUCAGAGAUUAGUGGAAAACAAUAGCGCGAAACUUGAGCAUCCGUACAAUUAAGGAACGAGAAAUUACCGCGAGGAGAAGGCGCGAAAAGCGCGAGCACGGUUAGGAAUCGGCGCGUGUCACGCUCUGAUUCGUGCGCGGAUCUCGACCCAGUCCAGAUCCUCGUUAUUUUUUCUUUUUCCCUUCCCAGCCCCGAUUAUUAGCAGUUUCGAUAAGACCUGGCCAACUUCUGUCUCUCUCUUUCUCUCCCUUCCCUUCUCUCCGCGCGAGUGGGAAAGAUAAAAGCUCUCUAGCCCGAGGAAUGCCGGUCGAACCGGAUGAGAGAAGAAUGGAUCGAGGCGUACGUGUGCACGCGUGAGUGAGAGGCGUGGAAGGAGAGGCUGGCACGGUCGAACAAAGAACAGGACUCGAGGUGUCUCGAGCGUGGGCCUCGAGAUAGUCGGCUUUUUCGUUUUCCACUUCCACUGUGCGACUGGAUUUUUUUUCUUUUAUGCCACCGGAUAGUCGUUGAUUUUUACCAAGGUUUCGAGUUGGAGGUUCGUUAAAUCUUAUCUUUAUAAAUAAUUAAUCGUGAUCUAGCAUAAUUUAAGAGAUUUUUUUAUUAAAUGGAAGAAUCUUAUUACAUGUUUCAGGAAAAUUUUAAUCCAACUCUGAUUCUAAGAGUUUUUAACGCAACUUUGUUUCAAGAAAACUUGCACGAUAUUAUACGCUAGAGCUAUCCUUGAGAACGCGAAAAUCGCGAAAGGAGAAAGGUUCGCUCUCUAACACCUUGACAUAAGCUAACACACGAUUGAUUAAUAACCUAUUAAACUUUAAAAUCGUCGUUCCUUUACGAAAUAUAAAAGCUAUGAUUACAAAAACUUUCACAAGCAAGGAAAUACGAUUAAGUAUUUUCUCGUCUUCACUUUUAAAACUGGCAAUUGUGCGAUUCUUCCGAUACAUAACAUAAAAUAAUGCUGCUAGAAUCAUCUUGAUCUUCUUCCCAAAGAAUUCUCCUUCAAAUCCAUCGAGAUAAAUAUUCGUAGAAAAUCUUAGUAGAGGUUUAAAAUUCCUCUUCUGAUUUAUCAAAUUUCCACGCACAAAUGGACGUAUUCACCAUGAGGCACGGAUUGGCCUCGAAUUGAUUCGAAAAUCUCUACGUCUCUACGUAGAGCGGAAUAUGCGGGUUAAACGUCGGCAUUUUACCCGCUCUUUGGCAUUCUUUCAGUCUUCCACAGACUGUGCAACUGUCACAGGGUCGUGGACGAACGACUCGUUGGCAGAGGAGAGAAUCGAUGAGGCAACUCGGUGGAACGAGCCGGUACGGUCUGUUUAAUAUUCAGCCGCGACUUGGAGCGGAAACGGCGUCUUCCGUUCGUUAAACGAAAACGACAAGAGAUAACCGCCCCCUCCGGAGAAGAAAAGAAAACUCGUAUCGAGUUGCGUCGUUAAAAUUAGUUCCAACGCGUCUGUCGAAUUAUUAUUAUUAUUAUUGGGAAAUUUGGAAAAUUCUUAUUAGAAUUGUUGUUAAUACGACGAAUUAAAGUUGAGGAGAGGAAAUAUUAGAAUUGAAAUAAGUGAAUAUAAGAAAUAUGAAAAUUUGAAUCUCGUUAUUGCUUAGAAAUGGGAUUAUAAUUAAUUAUAAUGAUAAUUAUUGUUAAGAGUGGAUAUAGUUUUUAAUAUCCAAUUUCUUUGUUCAAAGGGGAGAAAAUAUUUUUGACGAAAGGAAAUUUUUGAAUGAUGAUGAAAUUCUUCUUUUGUAACGAUUUAUCAAUUUUUCGUUCCAGGUUUAAUUUCUUUGAAAUUGGACAAUUAACGAAUGUCUGCCUCGUGUCUGGAGGCACAAAAGAUUUAAUCUGUCGAUAGAUUAGAUUAAAAUUAGAUCGUAAUCAAGAAUCCGCGAAUAUUGUCUUAAUUCGAGCAUAUCGAUGUUAAUCUCGCGUAUAAUUGAUAGAGUUAGCUUAUUAGAGUCAUACCAUCGGUUAAAACUCUUUGAGGGAGAGAUAAAAUUGUUUCAUUAGUUCUGCAAUUAGACAAUUCUCCAUUGUAUGGAAAUAUUGAUAAAGAAAUGAAUUAAUUGCGAUCAAUUUGUAAUCCGUUUAAAAAAUUAAAUACCGUGGGUAUUUACGAUAUUCAAGAUAUCGUGUCUUUUGUCUAAAUUUUAAAUUUUCGUUUUUUCGAAAUUCUUUCAAUUUCGUGUAUCCUGGAAUAUAAAUCUCUUUGAAAUUAUUCCACGUUUUAUUAUCGACAAGUGCAAUCUUAUUUCGAAAAGAAUAUUGCGAUAUUUCGUUAGAAAAAUUUCAAAUUCAAGCAAGAGCAAGAAAAGCAAAAGAUAAUCCUUUCAUCGUUACAUAUUACAACACCUCCAACGUUCCAAUAUUAAAUCCAUACGAAGUCUGUACAAUCUAUCUCAAACAAUCUUCAUAUGCAAAAGGAUUUCCUCGUAAAAUCCCUAGACGUUCCUCUAGGCCAGAUCAUGUCGUACAUCCGCAAACAUUCGACGUUAUUCAAAAAUUCACACAGCAAUUUUCUUAUUAAAUUUAAUAAAGAAGAAACGAAAAUUAAAUAUUCGAGAAAAUAGAAAUGAAUAAAGAAUCGUGUAAGAUGUAACGAGACUCGUAAAAAUUAAAAUUCUAUAUUUUACAUAAAGUGAUAGUAAUAAAAUUAAAUUAAUUCAGAUAGUAUCUACGAGUUUAAAUAAUAAUCUGACAUUAAUAAAAUUUCACUCGUGCAAACAGAAAUCUAUAUCUUCAUAAUAUAUUCACUGUGAUUAUCUUUAUUUAUUUAUGAGAUAAAUUUGUAAAAAUUUAAUCUUCUUCCUUUCAAUGAAGCAUUUUUGAAAUACUGAAUAUAUACAUAGCUUUGAACAUCGUUUUUGAUCGUCCACCAAAUUUCUAUUUUUCUAAAUCGAUCUCGAGAAGAUCGAUAUUACGAAGUACGUAAGACAAAGAGAAUAGGUAUAAAAGAUACUUUGUAUAAUCCAGGUGGCGGUGUUUAAAGCCAUGGAAAAUAUGUAAAACAGUUGCAUUAUUCAUCGCGGUUAAUCUUCUUUCUGGCUGCGUACGUGUCGAGUCGUAAAGGAGAAGGCGUGCCCGUGGAAAGGGAAGUCGCGUACGACUUUUCGUCGCUCAAAGGAAAACCAAGUAAACUGGUCGUUGUUCGUACCUUGUAAAUACCUGUUGUGUGUUGCGACACUGCUAAACCAUUAAAUACCUGUCAAACGCAAUAGCAAUUUUGCUGACUCUUCGCCUCGAAGGAUACAUUUACGCUGCGUCUCGUAUUAUGUCUGGUAUUAUUAAAAAAAAAAAAAAACAGAAAAAAA